AAGGUUUUAGCUUAAUUAAAGUAUCUGGGUUGCAUUCAGAAGAUGUGAGAUAGAAUCUUGCAAAUCUUA
rnacentral:tRNA from 1 species